rnacentral:sRNA from 2 species
AUCACUUGUGAGCUGAGACUACAGAGCGGGGGAUUUCCUAUGGGGUGAAUCGCAAGUGAUUGCGUAGGGCUUUACACCUUGAUGCCCGAAUCCGUCAACUAACCUCGUAAGCAAAGAAAGGUGGAUUC